rnacentral:rRNA from 1 species
CAGGCACGCAAAUUACCCACUCCCGGAACGGGGAGGUAGUGACAAAAAAUAACGAUACGGGACUCGAUAUGAGGCCUCGUAAUCGGAAUGAGUACACUCUAAAUCCUUUAACAAAAAUCUAUUGGAGGGCAAGUCUGGUGCCAGCAGCCGCGGUAAUUCCAGCUCCAAUAGCGUAUAUUAAAGUUGUUGCGGUUAAAAAGCUCGUAGUUGGUUCUGCGUCCCGCGCUGUCGGUACACCGUUUGUCGGUGACACUGGCAUGACGCGGGAUGUCCUGUCGGUGGCGGCGGAGACCAUAUCGUCGUCGGAUAACACCGCGGCGUGUUGGCCUUCUGUCGCCGGCUAUAUCCUACCGCGGUGCUCUUCACUGAGUGUCGAGGUAGGCCGACACGUUUACUUUGAACAAAUUAGAGUGCUUAAAGCAGGCAAAAAUCUCUGCCAGAAUAGUGGUGCAUGGAAUAAUGGAACAGGACCUUGGUUCUAUUCUGUUGGUCUCCGGAACACAAGGUAAUGAUCAAUGUGGACAGGCGGGGGCAUUCGUAUUGCGGCGUUAGAGGUGAAAUUCUUGGAUCGUCGCAAGACGCACUAGAGCGAAAGCAAUUGCCAAGUAUGUCUUAAUUGAUCAAGAACGAAAGUUAGAGGUUCGAAGGCGAUCAGAUACCGCCCUAGUUCUAACCAUAAACGAUGCCAGCCAGCGAUCCGCCGAUGUUCCUUUGAUGACUCGGCGGGGAGCUUUCCCCGGGAAACCAAAGCUUUUGGGUUCCGGGGGAAGUAUGGUUGCAAAGCUGAAACUUAAAGGAAUUGACGGAAGGGCACCACCAGAAGUGGAGCCUGCGGCUUAAUUUGACUCAACACGGGAAACCUCACCAGGUCAGGACAUUGGAAUGAUUGACAGAUUGAUAGCUCUUUCUUGAUUCAGUG